rnacentral:rRNA from 1 species
AUAGCGACUAUCGUGGCAUAUCAAUAAGCGGAGGAAAAGAAACUAACAAGGAUUCCCUUAGUAACGGCGAGUGAAGCGGGAAGAGCUCAAAUUUGAAAUCUUCAAGGUUCUACCUUGACGAAUUGUAGUUUAUAGAAGUGUUUUCUGUUAGUAGAGUGGCAAAAGUUCUUUGGAAUAGGACAUCAUAGAGGGUGAGAAUCCCGUAUUUGGUCAUUCCUCCUAGCGUUGUGAUACACUUUCAACGAGUCGGAUUGUUUGGGAAUGCAGUCCAAAAUGGGUGGUAAAUUUCAUCUAAAGCUAAUAUUGGCGAGAGACCGAUAGCGAACAAGUACCGUGAGGGAAAGAUGAAAAGAACUUUGAAAAGAGAGUUAAACAGUACGUGAAAUUGUCAAAAGGGAAGCGUUUGACACCAGUGUUGUUUUUCCGAAAAUCAAUUACGAAUGUUUUGUUUUUGAGAAGUUAUGACUUCAUCGGCUUGCUCCUUUCUUUACGAAACUUUCUUAAUGCACUUUUCGGUUAACAAGUCAACAUCAAUUUCUUUUGUUGUAAAAGGGUAUGAGGAAGGUGGCUUUCUUUUCGGAGAAAGUGUUUAUAGCCUUGUACCUCUGCAAUCGGAGAGAUUGAGGUCUGCAGCGUAGAUCCUUCGGGGUUAGAUACAUUUGUGCUAAGUUAUAGCUUUUCAUAGACAACUUGUUGACUAUGUUUAGUCUUGUAGCUUACUCGCUUACUGCUAUUUUACCUACGCUUAGGAUGUUGAUAGUCACAGCGUGUAC